GGGCCGUAACUAGGGAUCGAUUUCAGGGGAGGCAGGGGUUUUUGGCCGCCGAUUGAGGCCCCAAGAGAAUAGCUUAAAAUGACCCGUUUUCCUUCGAUUUCCUUACUUUAAGACUCAUCAGUGUUGCUUGAACCUGAUAGCAAUUUUUAUGCAAAAACAAACUGAGAUUGCUGUUCGGGGUGAGCCAAGGCUCCGUCUUCAAGGUCGUACUUUUAACUAUAAUUAUUAACAUUAAAUACAUUGUGACCGCCGAUUUUUUUCUCUCAAUAAAAUGGCGAAAAAAAGACGUUUUCCUUCGAUUUCCUUACUUUACGACUCAUCAGUAAUGCUUGCACCUG
rnacentral:lncRNA from 1 species